UAGUUAAUUGCUUGCCAUCUUCCACCCACUUCCAGCCCGCUUCUAGGUGACCUGUCUUUAGCCUGAUCAGGAGACCUCUGACUGCGGCUUCUAUCCUCUCGUAUUUCAGCGCCUCUGAUCUCUAUAAUAGGAAGUUCUCCUUGCUAGCUGCUUAAACAGCACAGUUUAUGUUUCCAUCUUGUCUCACAUUUUCUCUUUUAAUAUAAGUACUUUGUUAGUCAUAUUCUACUUGACAUCUCUCCCCCAUGUUCCCUUCCUCUUUAUCCUUAUUAUUGCUCUUCAUUUUACCUAGAAUUCUUUUCCUUCCCUGGGCCCUCAUCUCCUCAUGAAAAUCGUUUCCAUUCAUUAAAAGCCCAAGUCCCAGGCAAGCUUCCCCACACCCAGCUCUGAAAUCCUGUAGAACUUGUUUACAAAGCCUUCCUGUAUUCUCCUUUGUAUUUUAGUUAUCUCUACAUUGCUUAUCUUAUUCUAUUCAACCAAAUGCCUACCACAGUGUCAAGGUCUAGUGUGCAGUAGAUGAUCCAUUGUUAAAUGUUGAGUUAUAUUGUUGAAGGAUGAUUUCAAACAACCCAUUUUCAAAGAACAGAGAUAACCACACUGUUGAAAAAGAAAGAAGACAGAAAGAAAAGGGAAACAGGACUGGAAGAGAAAGGUCACGAGAAUCUCAGCCUGCUGUGGAAAGAACACUGAUGAAGGAUCAGCAGCCUGGGUUCAAGUCCCACGUGGCUGUUAAUGACCUAAAUGACCACGAAACUACUCUCCAGAGAAUCAAGGGAGUGGGUUCCAUAUCGAGUUUGUCACCACGAUGAAACUGUAUGAGCAUCUCCCCAUCUAGGCUCCCGAUAGCUGACUAAACAAGAUAGCAUUGAGACUGCACUGCAGAGCCCUAGCAUCAGAUGUGUGCUAAGACCUGUUGAUGCCUCCUUUCGUCACACAAAAUGGAAACAUUCUGCAACAUUCUCAAUUUUAAGAAAGCCCUUGCCAUGUGCCAUUUUAGGUAGAAGCUUCCAGUCUGGCAACUAAAAGGAAAGAGCUAUGCCAAAGAAACUCGUAGUCAACUACAUCACGGUCUGGGAAGAUGGAAAUCAUCUGACAAAGAUUGUUCUACAUGGUAACUCAUCAAAACCUCAACUCGCAGCCUUCACUCUGAGCCU